UAUCUUGGAUUAGUAUGAAACAUUUUACAUUACAUUUACAUUUCUUGAAACAUACCUGCCUAAACCAAAAUUGUGUAUAAAUAACCCAAGUUUGUAGCCUGCCUUCCGCUUUGGGAUGACUCCCAUUUUUAGGGAGGAGACAUGAGCAUCUCAUUAUAUACGUAUCUCUGGCUAACGUUAGCGAUCUUGUGCAUACCGCGCUUAAGGCUAGUUUAGAUAUAUGUAUUCAUAUUGUUUUUGCAAACGUUCUAAACAAGCAGGCCAUACAAGUGAAAUAAUGUUCAGCAACUUAACUACUACUAUAGUCCUCACCCGGGUAUUUACGAAAGUAUCAAAAGUACCAAAUGUGUCUGACACAUGGUUAUCUGAAACACAAAAGUUCUAGCUUGCAAAAUAUGUCUCACAGGCAAUGCAGCUCCGAGGUAGACUACAAUUAAGACUAUCAUCUAGGAUGCAACAGCGCGUCUUUAUCGAAUUCUUAGGUGCAUAUUGAAGGUGUUAAAAGUAUGGAAGGCCAAGAGUUUCAAAUUGUCCUAUGGGCAUUUUUACACCUGUUCAGUGUGCAUUUACAGGUGAUUAGAAUGUUUGAAUAUUGUACUUCCAGACUCAUGAAAUUCUGCCAUUGCACACUUUCUGAGCGCCUGUGUAGUAACGGGUACAUUUCAUACGUCUGAAAUUACCACAUUGUAGCCUGUCCCACCUCAAUUUCAGUGAGUUUGACUUUGUUUGACUUCUGGCCUGUUGCGACGAAUCGCUUACUCAGGGAUGGAGGAGAUGUUUCUAAAUAUAGAUCAAAUUGUUAAAAAUAGUCAAGGCAUUGGUGAGAAUUGGAGGAAGAAAUUAAAACAUAUUUUUCCAAAUAGCAUUACAACUACAAAGCUGACGCUGGCUAGCUAGCUUAUUUUCAUUGAAAUAGCAUGGCUAGUUAGCUAACUAGCGAUAUUCUUCUGUCUAGCCUGUAACUAAUGGUUGUUACGUUGUGGGACAGAGCAAUAGUUCUUUGUACUUGUCAUUUGGCUCAGACUAACAUUAGUUUAGAAAAUAAUUGUUAACUUUGUGUAAAUUUGUUGUAUAAUUGGUUGGCUUUGCUAAGUAUCAAGAUGAGAUUUAUUUGCUCAAGUUAGCUAACUUAGCUAUUAGCUAAUGUUUUAGGAGAACAUGCUAGCUCCCUGCAGAAUCUAGACAAUAGAGAAUGGGGAAUAAGAUCUCGCUGUUGCAGUGCUCAGACAAGGUGAGAGGACUGCUACAGAUAUAAAAAGCCACAACAUGAUGAUCAUGUAGUCAAACAUCUGAAGUCUAGCGAGGAGGAGAAAAGCCUGCUUUGGAUCAGCUGUCACGUUCGUUAUAUGAAUCGGACCAAGGAAUCUCCGAAUGCUAUGUUGAAUGAGCACCAUGGAUGAAGGAGGCGGAGGAAAACAGACAGCUUCUUUCUACCACAUCUUCACCAUGUCAUACAAUGUUUGCUUCAUGAACAAUUCUUACAUCUCAAAUAAAUACAGAAUCAUUUUAGUUUAUUCUGUUCCUAAUGCUGGAUGUGAGUAAUUUAGCAGGUCUAUAAUAUGUAUUGUUUUGAAACGUUUAUUUAAUAUCUAUUCAGUCAACUCAUUUAUUUUAUGUUUUCUAAAAUAAUGUAUGUUUUGUGUACUGUUACUUUUUACAUGCUGAAACAGUCUCAUUAGUUUUGAGCUAGGCUAUGAUCGGGAAAAUGUCUACUGUAAAUGUUUAUUUCCCUUAAUGAGAACUUGGACAAUGUCAGGGAAUAAGUAGGAUAAAUGGACAUCCUAUCAAUGACAAAAUAAACUGCAGAGGUAGCCUUAAAAGAAAAAAUUAGAUCUGUGCAUGUUAUUACUGGACAGACGACUAGCCAGAGCAGUGAACACAUUUUCACAUGGAUGUAUAUACAAAAUGCAACAUGUAAAGUGUUGGUCUCAUGCACUGAAAUAAAAGAUUCCAGACAUUUUCCAUAGGCACAAGAGGCUUAUUUAUCUCAAAUGUUGUGCACCCUGGUCCUUCCUCCGCUGCCUCCAUAACAGUUUAUAAAUUAUUUUUUAGAAAACAUUUUAAUUCAGCCUUUGUGGUUUGAAUAGUAUAGUGACUAUUAUUGCUUUAAUUUUCCAAACAAAUUGGGUUUUGGAAAAGUAGGUACUUUUUGCAAAACCAUCCCAUCUGGUGGAUAUA